UGGAAAACGCGGCAGGCACUUUGGAGGAAAGAGGAACCUGGGUCCUGCAGGAAGGAGGGUCUGAAGCGGAAAGAAAUCCCUGGGGCCUCAGGGAGUGAGUGGAGGUCCCACCUUCUUACCUUCUUAUACGGCUUUUUAAUUUUGGCAAAAUCGUUGAAAUAGUCUUCCACGGUGACACAGAUAAUGUCUACAGCGUUUGACCCUAAUAGCCACUUCUUCGUCAUCAAUUCAUUCAGAUGUUGCUGAAAAGCAGAAACAGAUCAUAGAAAUCAUCACCUCAAUGUCCCACGAGAGCCGAGUGCGUGUGGGAGGGAGGCACUUCCUCACCUCAACGUCCCACGAGAGCCGAGUGCGUGUGGGAGGGAGGCACUUCCUCACCUCAACGCCCCACGAGAGCUGCGUGCAGUGUGGGAGGGAGGCACUUCCUCACCUCAACGCCCCACGAGAGCUGCGUGCAGUGUGGGAGGGAGGCACUUCCGUGCAUCUUUGCUACGUCACACUGCUUUUCUAAUUACAACAGCAAUGCGCACUCAGGUAAAAAUUCGAUUAUAUAAUCCGCAAAUGUGUACUUUAAGUAUAGGAGAUUUAUACUACAAUUUCUGUGAUGAGCUUCCCAAAAUGACAUGUUAAAGAUGGAAAUAUCUGUGCAUGUAUACCUUUUACCUUUAAUGGCUACGUAUAUUUAUCGUAUUUAUUUGCCCAAUUCUCUAUUGAUGGACAUUUAAAUUUUUUUCACAUUUUGCAAUAAUGCAACAGUGAAUCUGUAUAAUUCUACUGAUGAAAUUCCUUAAAGUUGAAUUUUUCAGUCAAAAAGUAUACACAUUAAAACCAAUAAAAGUAUAAAAAUUAAAACUCCAAUAAAAGUAUACAAAUUAAAACUCCAAUAGAAGUGUACAAAUUAAAACUCCAGUAAAAGUUACAAAUUAAAACUACAAUGGCUGUAUUUCCAAGCUGCCCUCCAAAACCCAACCCAGUUCAGGCCCACACAGAAUACAAACAGCCCCUUUUUCCCACGCCCUCAACAAGCCUGAACAGCAUCCACGUCUCUGGCUCCUGCCAUCCUGCUGAGCAGCAGGUCCUGUUGAGCAUUCAUUGCUUCGAGGAUAAGAUUGGGCGUCUAGUUUCACGAUGAGGACACUGGUGUUGCUUUUAAUGUGAGGUGGCCGUUCAUGUCUUUUGCCCAUUUUUCUAUAUAUUCUUUUUAAAUUUUGAAAUAAUUUCAAAUGUAAAUAUUUUCUUCUUGCUUUCUAAGUCAUAUUUGCGAAAGUUACAAGUGUCUGCCUCUUUGGGGACACUUCCACACACAUUUCUGUUCUCUUGCACAACCAGACACUGAUGAAUCAGCAACCAAUC
rnacentral:lncRNA from 1 species